GUAAACUCCGGGACGACGAGAGGGGUAAUGGAGAGGGGGAAAGGUUUGGUCGGAAGGACUGGGCGUAAAGGGCGCGUAGGCGGCCUGGUAAGGCGAACGGGAAAUCCCCGGGCUCAACCCGGGAACUGGGUCCGAUACUGGCAGGCUUGAAUCCGGGGGAGGGAGGCGGAAUUGCAGGUGUAGCGGUGAAAUGCGUAGAUAUCUGGGGGAACACCGGUGGCGAAGGCGGCAUCCUGGACCGGUAUUGACGCUGAGGCGCGAAAGCCAGGGGAGCAAACGGGAUUAGAUACCCGAGUAGUC
rnacentral:rRNA from 1 species